GACGAGAGGGACCUGGGCACUUAAAGAGGACAGGAUCAGGUGGGAAGUGGGACCUGGGUCUUUCUCUGCUGCAGGCCCAGGCCAGGUUCCCACCUACGCCCAGAUGUUUGCUGAGCACCUCCUGUCACCAGGCCCUGGAAAGGGACUCAGUGCUGGCCCCGUCAGACCUCUGCCCCUGCCAAGAAGCUCUCAGCCAGUUGAGGGAGACCAUCAAGCCCCCAGAUCCCUGUGAUCAGGGAGCUACAGGUCACAACAGGACACACAGUAACCCCUGCCGAGCCCCUGGUAGUUUGAGAGAAACCCGAGGCUCAGCAGAUGCCUGGGAGGUUACACAGCAGCCAAGGGGCAGAGACAGAGCCCGAAUGGCAAACACAGGACCCUUCUCCUCUGGGCCGCAUCACCCUCUGGACAAGGUCACCACCGAAUCCCUUACGUGCCAUAACCUGGAUUAGAGUCUCAGGUCAUGACUCUGAGCCCUGAACCUGUCUGCUUCCUAGCCCUACCCUGUUGUGUUCCUGCUGCUGGCCUGUCACCCGCGCCCUUGCCCACCGCCCCAUCACUGCACUCCUGUUAGUCCUCAAAUGCACCAUCCCCCACACCAGUCCUUUGCUCUUCCUUCAGUCUGGAAUGCUCCCCAACCCAUCCCAACAUCGCCACUGUCUCAGCUUCUCACUUUGUUCAGAUCUGUGCUGAAAUGUGGUGUCCCCUAAGAGCCAUCUCCUUGUCGCUCUGGCGAAAACAUGUCCUCUCCCUCCAGUCCACCAUCGGCACACUUGUCCUGCUUUAUUAUUCCCGGGAGCCCUUAUCAUCAUGUGUGUAUGUGCUCUCUGUCUGGUUUCCAACCUGAGACAGGGUGGAUCCCUCCCCCCCAGAAGCAGAACCUGAGAGAAGAUACAGGGGCAAGUAUUUAUUUGCGCGGUGUAGGCCGUUCUGGUAGGGCAGGUGCAGGAAAGUGAGGCAGGAAAGAGAAGGGUGAGCAGGUAAGGCAGCUGCUAUGGGGCAG